UUUGAGGCUGUGGCUCAGUGGAAAAAAACAUCUGUUUGGCAGGCAGAAGGUCCCAGGUUCAGUCCUUGGCCUCUCCACUUCAAAA
rnacentral:tRNA from 1 species